rnacentral:rRNA from 1 species
GACGAACGCUGGCGGCGUGCUUAACACAUGCAAGUCGAACGGUAAGGCCCUUCGGGGUACACGAGUGGCGAACGGGUGAGUAACACGUGGGUGAUCUGCCCUGCACUUCGGGAUAAGCCUGGGAAACUGGGUCUAAUACCGGAUAGGACUCCGGACUGCAUGGUCUGGGGUGGAAAGCUUUUGCGGUGUGGGAUGGGCCCGCGGCCUAUCAGCUUGUUGGUGGGGUGAUGGCCUACCAAGGCGACGACGAGUAGCCGGCCUGAGAGGGUGACCGGCCACACUGGGACUGAGAUACGGACCAGACGCCUACGGGAGGCAGCAGUGGGGAAUAAUGCACAAUGGGCGCAAGCCUGAUGCAGCGACGCCGCGUGAGGGAUGACGGCCUUCGGGUUGUAAACCUCUUUCAGCACCGACGAAGCGCAAGUGACGGUAGGUGCAGAAGAAGGACCGGCCAACUACGUGCCAGCCGCCGCCGUAA